CACGCCGUAAACUAUGAGUGCUAGGUGUUGGGGUUUUCUCAGUACCGAAGCUAACGCGAUAAGCACUCCGCCUGGGAAAUACGGCCGCAAGGCUAAAACUCAAAGGAAUUGACGGGGGCCCGCACAAGCGGUGGAGUAUGUGGUUUAAUUCGACGCAACGCGAAAAACCUUACCUGGGUUAAAUCCAUUAAAAGUUCCUUGAAAGAGGAAUGUGCUCGUAAGAGAAUUAAUGAGAAGGUGC
rnacentral:rRNA from 1 species